rnacentral:rRNA from 1 species
UACGUAGGGUGCGAGCGUUGUCCGGAAUUAUUGGGCGUAAAGAGCUCGUAGGCGGUGUGUCACGUCGGCCGUGAAAACCUGGGGCUUAACUCUGGGCGUGCGGUCGAUACGGGCAGACUGGAGUACUGCAGGGGAGACUGGAAUUCCUGGUGUAGCGGUGGAAUGCGCAGAUAUCAGGAGGAACACCGGUGGCGAAGGCGGUGGUCUGGGCCAGUACUGACGCUGAGGAGCGAAAGCGUGGGGAGCGAACAGG